GACGAACGCUGGCGGCGUGCUUAACACAUGCAAGUCGAACGGAAAGGCCCUGCUUUUGUUGGUUGCUCGAGUGGCGAACGGGUGAGUAACACGUGAGUAACCUGCCCUUGACUUUGGGAUAACUUCAGGAAACUCGGUCUAAUACCGGAUAGGAGCUCCUGCUGCAUGGUGGGGGUUGGAAAGUUUCGGCGGUUGGGGAUGGACUCGCGGCUUAUCCGCUUGUUGGUGGGGUAGUGGCUUACCAAGGCUUUGACGGGUAGCCGGCCUGAGAGGGUGACCGGCCACAUUGGGACUGAGAGACGGCCCAGACUCCUACGGGAGGCAGCAGGGGAGAAUAUUGCACAAUGGGCGGAAGCGUGAUGCAGCAACGCCGGGUGCGGGAUGACGGCCUUCGGGUUGUAAACCGAUGUCGAAUGUGACGAAGAGUGAGUGACGGUAAUGAGUAAAGAAGCACCGGCUAACUACGUG
rnacentral:rRNA from 1 species